rnacentral:rRNA from 1 species
CCUACGGGUGGCAGCAGUGGGGAAUAUUGGACAAUGGGCGAAAGCCUGAUCCAGCCAUGCCGCGUGUGUGAAGAAGGCCUUCGGGUUGUAAAGCACUUUCAGUGGGGAAGAAAGCCUUGGGGCUAAUACCCUCGAGGAAGGACAUCACCCACAGAAGAAGCACCGGCUAACUCCGUGCCAGCAGCCGCGGUAAUACGGAGGGUGCGAACGUUAAUCGGAAUUACUGGGCGUAAAGCGCGCGUAGGCGGUCUGAUAAGCCGGUUGUGAAAGCCCCGGGCUCAACCUGGGAACGGCAUCCGGAACUGUCAGGCUAGAGUGCAGGAGAGGAAGGUAGAAUUCCCGGUGUAGCGGUGAAAUGCGUAGAGAUCGGGAGGAAUACCAGUGGCGAAGGCGGCCUUCUGGACUGACACUGACGCUGAGGUGCGAAAGCGUGGGUAGCAAACAGGAUUAGAUACCCUGGUAGUC